AAUAGAUACCCUGGUAGUCCACGCUGUAAACGAUGUCAACUAGCUGUUGGCUAUAUGAAUAUAGUUAGUGGCGCAGCAAACGCGAUAAGUUGACCGCCUGGGGAGUACGGUCGCAAGAUUAAACUACAAAGGAAUUGACGGGGGCCCGGCACAAGCGGUGGAGCAUGUGGUUUAAUUCGAUGCAACGCGAAGAACCUUACCUACCCUUGACAUACAGUGGAGCUUGCAGAGAUGUGAGUGUGCCUUCGGGAACACUGGUACAGGUGCUGCAUGGCUGUCGUCAGCUCGUGUCGUGAGAUGUUGGGUUAAGUCCCGUAACGAGCGCAACCCUUAUCCUUAGUUGCCAGCACGUAAAGGUGGGAACUCUAAGGAGACUGCCGGUGACAAACCGGAGGAAGGCGGGGACGACGUCAAGUCAUCAUGGCCCUUACGGGUAGGGCUACACACGUGCUACAAUGGUUGAUACAGAGGGCAGCGAAGGGGUGACCUGGAGCAAAUCUUAGAAAGUCAAUCGUAGUCCGGAUUGG
rnacentral:rRNA from 1 species